rnacentral:rRNA from 1 species
AUGUCGCGCCUCCUCGUCUUGCUCUUCCUCUGCGCCGCCGGCGCGGCGGCCGCGGCCGCGCCCCUGCCCAGGUUCAGGGAGGCGCCGCACUUCACCAACUCGGCCUCCGCGCGCUGCCCGGCGCCGCUCCCGCCCGCGUCCGGCAAGGACGACGGCGCCUGCUCGCCGCGCGCGGCCGUGCACGUGGCGAUGACGCUGGACGCGUCCUACCUGCGGGGCACCAUGGCCGCGGUGCUCUCCGUCCUGCGCCACGCCUCCUGCCCGGAGUCCGUCCACUUCCACUUCCUCACCGCCGCCGGGUCGCCCUCCCGGACGGCGGAGCUGGUGGCCGCCGUGCGCGCGUCGUUCCCGUCGCUGGCGUUCCGGGCGUACCCGUUCGACGAGUCGCGGGUGGCGGGCCGCAUCUCGGCGUCCGUCCGCGGCGCGCUCGACCGGCCGCUCAACUACGCGCGCUCCUACCUGGCCACCACGCUGCCGCCCUGCGUGCGCCGCGUCGUGUACCUGGACUCGGACGUCGUGCUCACCGACGACGUCGCCGCGCUCGCCGCCACGCCGCUCCCGGGGAACGCGGCGGUGGCGGCGCCCGAGUACUGCGGCGCCAACUUCACCGCCUACUUCACGCCGGGGUUCUGGGCCAGCCCGGCACUCUCCCGGACCUUCCGCGGGCGCCGCGCGUGCUACUUCAACACGGGCGUCAUGGUGCUCGACCUGCCGCGGUGGCGGGCGGCGGGGUACACGGCGCAGAUCGAGGGGUGGAUGGAGCUGCAGCGGCGGGUGCGCAUCUACGAGCUCGGCUCCCUGCCGCCCUUCCUCCUGGUGUUCGCCGGCCGCAUCGCCGCCGUCGACCACCGCUGGAACCAGCACGGCCUCGGCGGCGACAACUACCGCGGGCUAUGCCGCGGCCUCCACGCCGGCCCCGUCAGCCUCCUGCACUGGAGCGGCAAGGGCAAGCCGUGGGACCGGCUCGACGCCGGCCGGCCCUGCCCGCUCGACGCCGUCUGGGCCAAGUACGACCUGCUCCGCCCGGACACCGGGAUCGACGCCGUCUUGUGA